AAUAUGUAUUUUCUAAUAAAAAAAUACGGCAUUCAAAUAAUUUCAUAUCAUCUUUUUUUAAGUUUUACUUAUUACUAAACCUCUAGUAAUUCAUGACCUAUGUGUUUAUUGAUAGGAAUACAUAAUAAUUCCUGUCAUUUUAAAAAAUCGAUCUUCUGAUUCGCGAAUAAUUGAACUAAACCAAUCUUGUGUGAGAUGCCUGGCUGCAUAAAUUUUAUUAAGCUUACUUAAAGACUUGACUUUUAUUCAUCAAUUAUUUAUAAGCUUCUGAUAUGUAUCUCAUAAUAAUUAAUUACUAAAUAAUUAUUACUCACUGAAUUUUUCAAUCAAAGCCUUCAAGAAGGUAUUUAAGAAAUUAUGAUAAUUAGGCCCCUGUAAUUUGUUCAAAUAAUAAUCAUCAUGUUAUAUUGUUCCUACACAUCACAUUAUAUAGAUUAAUAUGGCGUCUUAUCUACUCCUAUAAAUAUAUAUAUAUAUAUAUUGAUGUCAACUUAAAAUAAUCUUUUAAUUGAAUCAAUGGAGGAAUAAAAAAGAAAAAAAAUCAAUCCUGUAAUUGUCACACCCUUCAGACCACCAGGAUGGAAUUAAUCCCAAGUUAAGCCCACACACACUGCAUCACUCAGUGACUUUACACAGCUUGAGAUAUUAUUGCAACAUUCAACGACGCGUGUUGUUAACUGAAUAUUAGAUUAAUAUAAUAUUAUCAUCUAUGGCAAAUAGUUGGAGGACAAUGAAGGGGACGUAUUUUUCAAUCCAGUAAUUAAAGUACUCUUUAAAUAAUAAGGGCAAAUAAAGUUGUAUGAAUGUAACUGUUAAAAGUAGUAUUUAAGUUCCGCUCCCCCGCUUUUCAUCAAUAUUUAACGGAUUUAUUUGGCGUGCCGUACUGUCAGCAGCUAAUCAAUCCAGCAGCUUAUGUUUCUAACAAGUAUGCGGUAUGAGACAGAAUUAUAUGAUAUGAAUGAGACUCUGUUGCUUCCACGUCAUUCAAAAAGAGCCUCCUCCCUGUUGUUCUUCUUCCAUCAAUUUGAUGAUGCCAAUUCAGGUAAAAAUACAUAACAUAAUAUAUCUACUUUUCGAGCAACAGCGUUUACUUAAAAGAAGGAAUUUUGACGUAUGUCAUUUACUUAGUUAUAAAAGUAAGUAAGAUGGAUUUCACCUUACGUAUUAGUACUUAGUACAAGCACAGGUACAUAUGUAAGUAGUAAGGUGUAGCAGCCGGCUUGAGUACUAAUAUACCGGUGGUGCUGUUGUGCCGUCCUUGACAAGAAAAGAAGAAGAAAGAUGCUUAAAGAAGUAGUUGUACUCCUCUUUACAACAGAAAAAGCCAAAAUAAAACCCUCAGUCCUUUAAAACGUUCCCCAAGCCGCGCCCUAAGCCAUUAGGGGUUUCUUUUCCUUAUUAUUAUUACUAUACGUUUGUUUAGAAAGUUUUAAGGUAUAUUAUUAAUAUAUGUUAUGUUCGAUACAGAACUUAUACGAAAGUGUCUGCGUGUUCCUUUAUGAAGUCUAACGACGCAUGCAUACUAUGGAACAACAUGUAGUAGUGUAAAUAGUAGUACAACAGGUGAAAACACAUAAGGCAUUUAAACAAGCUAGGAUCGAGAGCGAGUAAUAAAAAAAAAGAACCUGAUCAUCAUCAUCAUAAGGGAGAAACUGUUUUCUUCUCAUUACUUUCAGUAUUGGUUUUGACAUCUCCAAGGGGGGUUGACUCGCGCUUCCCUGCUCAUAUUAUUUAUAGUUACUAUUUCUACUCCAACUGUCUUCUCCUCACUUCAUUAAAUUAAUGAAUAUGAAGACUCCCAACGUUGCCUUGCAUUCCCUUCUCUUCCGACUCCUCAUUCUUAUCUACCACUUUACCAAUUGGCUUGGCGUUCUUCGAACGUUUGGUAGGAGUAGUAUUGAGGAUGAGUUAUAAUAAUAUAAAGAAACCUUCAAGAUGCACGUUCUCAUCCGAAUCCGACAUAGAAGAAGACAAAAACUAUCCAUAUAGGAAUGAAAAUAUAUACCCUAGUCAAUAUAAUCAUGUAUAGUAAUUACUAAUUUACAUCUUAAUCAACGAAUUUACAAAGCUGAUCUUUGGUGCUGCUCUCUCUCUCUCUAUCCACUGUAAUUAACGCCGCCAUCUCUUAAUGAAUCCUUGGAGGCGUUAAUCAUCAUGAAAAUUAGAAUCUUUUUGUAAUAUAUAUUUAUAUGUUUCCUUCCUCAAUCUUAUUUCAAUUGAGUUUGAAUUGAAUUGUAACUACUUUUAAGCUCACUUAUUUUCCUAUAAGAUUUACAGAAAAAGAAAACCAACAAAAACCUAUUGAUUGUAAUUCAAUACAAUUAUUUUACAAAGAACCUCAUUAUUUUAUUUAAUGUGUGAAUAAAAAACAAAACUCUAAAAUA
rnacentral:lncRNA from 1 species